rnacentral:rRNA from 1 species
UACAGAGGUCCCAACCGUUGUUCGGAUUUAUUGGGCUUAAAGGGUGCGUAGGCGGCGGGGCAAGUCAGGUGUGGAAUCUCGGGGCUCAACCCCGAAACUGCACUUGAUACUGCCUUGCUUGAGUACUGGAGAGGAGACUGGAAUUUACGGUGUAGCAGUGAAAUGCGUAGAUAUCGUAAGGAAGACCAGUGGCGAAGGCGAGUCUCUGGACAGUUACUGACGCUGAGGCACGAAGGCCAGGGGAGCAAACGGG